CAAAAUUUAGCUCAUCACAGCACUUCAUAUUGCUGCUACAAGUUUAUUUUAAAGCUUCCAAGGACCAAGGUUAUGGUGAAAAACCUGUAAUUUUGCCCAGAUACAAGGUAGGAGAGGGUUCGUACCACAUUGAAUUAAUUCACAAAAUCUUAGUCUUAAAACAUCAUGAAAAGAGUGGCGCUCAUCCAAAUGAAGCAAAUGCUUCAAAAAAAGAAAAAGGAAAAAAAAAGAAAGAAAUCUCCGUGAUCUCCAUGCCCAAUCUUCGUGAUGAGGUACAUAGUGAAUAUUGGUCUCUGUCCUCAAUACGUGCACAUAUUUAUUUCUGCUUUUGUAUUGUGGUUAGGUAUUUCCGCCUUGUUCUGUAAUUGGUGUGUGUGUGAUUUUUGUGUAUCAGUCUCUAAAAGGUCAAAAUAUAAAAACAUCGAUUGGGUAAGAGACUAGGUAAGAGAUAUAUUUUUGAUUGGGUAAGAGACUAGGUAAGAGAUAUAUUUUUAUUUGUUUUCAUCACCAGAUUCAUCUUCUGGAAGAUUGUUUAAAAUGGAAUACAAAAUCCUUUUUUAUUAAACUGUGUUAAUAGAUCUGAACCACCAUAAUUUUAUUAAGCGGGUAGCUUCACGGUGCUGAUCCUUUUUUAUCCUUUGAUUCUUAAUUUUUCAAUUUGAUUUUUUUUCUUCAAUUCUUCAUUCUUGGUGGUGCAUAUUUUUCAGAUCUGGUAAUCUCCCAUCUCUCUCAGCUUCUUCAGAUCUUUAUGUUCUUUUCUAUCUUUUUAUCAUUCUUUUCUUUAUUACUUUCCAAUAUUAAAUUCAAGUUUUAUUUCCUCUUUAUUGUUUCAAUUUUUGAUUUCAAUGGAACGUCAAACUUCGUUAAUUACUUCCACCCCUCUAAAUUAAAUAACCAAUAUCAUCCUUGUUAAGCUUCGUGAUGACACUGGGUUUUGCCCUCCUCAGUUUCUAACUCGUGUCAAUGAGAGAACCCAAACUGUUAGUCCGUCUUAUACUUUAUGGAAUGAAGAAGAUCAAACUACAGUUCUAUGGAUUAACUCUACUAUAUAUGAUACCGUCUUUGGUCAUCUAUCUGGUGUUUCCAUAGCUUAUAAUCUUUGGCAACUCAUUGAAGAGAAGUUUGCUCAGACAUCUACAUCCCAUGUGAUUCAACUUCGUACCAAACUACAAAAUCUCAAGCAAGGAUCUUUCCACCGGGAGGAUUCUGUACAAGGGAACUCAGAGUAAUGGUCUAUAUCCCAUCCAAUUCAACACCAUCUCCUCUUCACCAUCUUCCUGGCAACCAUUAGCCUUUCUUUCUGCAACUGAAGUUUGGCAUCGAAGACUAGGCCAUCCCUCAUUCCAUUCACUUCAGCGAAUUAAUAAAUCUUUUGCUCUUACUGAUUUUCUGAAUAAACCAUUGUUUUGUAAUGAGUGUCAACUAGGGUGUAGUCAUAAACAACCAUUUCAAUUAUAUAAUUUUAUCAGUCUUGAACC